rnacentral:rRNA from 1 species
GACGAACGCUGGCGGCGUGCCUAAUACAUGCAAGUAGAACGCUGAAGGAGGAGCUUGCUCUUCUGGAUGAGUUGCGAACGGGUGAGUAACGCGUAGGUAACCUGCCUGGUGGCGGGGGAUAACUAUUGGAAACGAUAGCUAAUACCGCAUAAUAGUAGAUGUUGCAUGAUAUUUACUUAAAAGGUGCAAUUGCACCACUACCAGAUGGACCUGCGUUGUAUUAGCUAGUUGGUGGGGUAACGGCUCACCAAGGCGACGAUACAUAGCCGACCUGAGAGGGUGAUCGGCCACACUGGGACUGAGACACGGCCCAGACUCCUACGGGAGGCAGCAGUAGGGAAUCUUCGGCAAUGGACGAAAGUCUGACCGAGCAACGCCGCGUGAGUGAAGAAGGUUUUCGGAUCGUAAAGCUCUGUUGUAAGAGAAGAACGAGUGUGAGAGUGGAAAGUUCACACUGUGACGGUAUCUUACCAGAAAGGGACGGCUAACUACGUG